CACACGCAUUCACAAACCUUCACCAUUCUUAUUUCUUUCACUAUCUAGGGUUUCUUUUUUUCACAAAUAAUACGCCGUCGCAGUCUCGCCUAUCAAUCUCCCAUAUUCGAUCUCACCCUUCUUCCACCUUCCAUCUCUGGUCAACGAAGGCUUUCUGUCCGACGGUAAGUUACGGUUCUGAUUUAUUUUAUUUUUUCGAAAAAAAACUACAAUAAAAGUAAGAAAUUGAUGGUAGAUACUUGGCUAAUCUUUGGUUUUUGAGUUUCGAAUCUUCAUCUGGAUACUUUCAAUUUCUGCUUCAUAAGGUUUGAAAGGUGGAAUUGCAGGUUUAAAAGGGAUGGAUGUUUACAAGCGCUUAUGGAUGUUUAUCGUUUUUAUUGAUUAAUUGUCGAACUACUUUUGGAUUUUAUGUCUUGUUUUAAAUGUUUGUGGUUUAUUUUGAAACUUUGAUUUGUUUUGAAUUGGUUACUGAACUGUUUAAAUUUGAAUGUUAUUUGAUGUUUUAGAUGGUU